rnacentral:misc_RNA from 1 species
GAGCUAUGUAACCUUGCUUUAAUUAGACAGAGUAUUGAUUUUUUUUUAUUGUAAGGAGGUAUAUCCCAACUUGUUAGACCAAUAAGACUAAUACACCUGGAGCCCCCCGCAAUAACUUGAAAACCACUGGAGUCUCUGGAGCUCCCCCAAUAGCUUGAAAAUCACUGGAGCCAUAUAGUACGCCGUAAAACCUUGAAUCAAAGGGUACACUUACAACCUUCAAGCUUGAAUCUGAGAUCUCUCCCAAGCCUAUCUUAUCAUUAACCAUUAGGCCAAUGAAUUAUUAGUGAGCGGAAUAUUGAACCUGAUAUAUUAUAUAUGAAGAAUCAACAUUUUAUUUUUAGUGUCUCUAAAGAAUUUGAACACUUUACCAAAC